CCCCCCACCCCACCCUAAUCCCUGAAAGGGGUUUCCCCUUUAUCCUUCCACUCUGCCUGCUCUGCCACCUCAACUUUGGACAAAGUCACCAAACCACUCCUUGCCGUGGAACCAGAUCCGGCAUCCUAAGAGCCGAGAUAGUCUGAGUGUGCAAAUGAUGGAGAAAGGAAUGGGGCCAGCCGGCUCGACUCGAGAAAGGCUCCAUUUCCGCCGUACGACCGAGGAGGAAGGAAAAUCGGACGACGGUUGGGUUUGGAGAAAAUCCGGCCACUGGUUAAGAGGAAACCGCUCUGGACCCGAGGCUCGGUCUCGAGCCUCGGGUCCAGGCUACUGGAGGGCGAUCAAAGAAAAUGUGAGGGGGAGGAGGGAUUUCUGCCUCAUGCCAAAUUCCUGAAAAACUUUACUUCAUGUCAGACGGCCUCUCCUCCAGGGCCCUCCUGCCUUCAAAACCUGAAAAGACACUAUUUGAGUCAAAAAAGGCCUCGUAGGCAACCUGGGAUAUAUCUCCUGGGAGCCCUCUGGUUUUCAGAGCGGUUAGAGCUGCUCCAUUUGGACCAUUUCGGCUCAUUUUCCACGGGCAGAAAAUGUGUCCAGUUCUAGAGGGAAAUACCUUUCACAAGUCUAUAGUGUUUUUUAUGUCAGGAUUACAAUUUCAAACCUGGUAUGACGAAAGCACAACCGAGAUAACCCCCUGUCCCUCUCUAAAUCCUGGUUGACCAACUCAAUGUUCAAUGGAAUGUUAUUUCUCUCUCAUUCAGGAGAUAGAAAACAACAAAAAGAUUCCUGCAAUCCACCACAGCAGCCUUUAAAAAGUCAAUAAAAUAGCUAAAUAAAAUCAAAAUAAAUAUAAAACGGCAAGGAGGA